UGUAUUCAUAGACUUGCACGACAUUUCUCGGUUUUAUUACUGACGACAAGCCACAGGUAUUCAUUACAGCCAUGUCUGUGUUAUCGCCAUUCCAGGUGGAGAAACUCGAGUACUACUUCAAGUUUUUCGACGCCGACGGCGAUGGCUGUCUAAUGAUGAAGGACCUCCCAGUCUUAAUGAAGAAAAUCAUUGAGUACACGGGAUGGGACGAGGAUUCUUCAGUCGUCAAGGAGCUUUACGAGGUUCAUGUGGCGUUUUUCGAGGUGCUUCACGAGAAAACUGCCGCUACAAAA